rnacentral:rRNA from 1 species
CCUACGGGUGGCAGCAGUGGGGAAUAUUGGGCAAUGGACGCAAGUCUGACCCAGCAACGCCGCGUGAAGGAAGAAGGCUUUCGGGUUGUAAACUUCUUUUAAGGGGGAAGCGCAGAAGACGGUACCCCUUGAAUAAGCCACGGCUAACUACGUGCCAGCAGCCGCGGUAAUACGUGGGUCGCACGUGUUGUCCGGAUUUACUGGGUGUACAGGGUGCGUAGGCGGUCGGAUAAGUGAGAGGUCAAAUGUAGGGGCUUAACCCCGUGCCUGCCGCUGAUACUGUUCGACUAGAGAGCGGAUGCAGCAGGCGGAAUGAGUAGUGUAGCGGUGAAAUGCUUAGAUAUUACGCAGAACACCGAUUGCGAAGGCAGCUUGCUAAUCCGCAACUGACGCUGAUGCACGAAAGCGUGGGUAGCGAACAGGAUUAGAUACCCCUGUAGUC